CAGAGUCGUAGUUUAAGUAAAAUAUUAACAUUGGAAGUUAAAGAUUAGGUAAGUAUAACCCUACACUUUGA
rnacentral:tRNA from 1 species